AUGAUUUAUUAAAGUACGUUUUAACGAUUAAUCGAUAAUUUUUCAAGUGAAGCUUAUUUGUCUGUAUAUAUCCUCGUACUUAUGAACGGGAGUUGUAUGCUAUAUCUUCCAGUAAAAAAUUAGAAAUAAAGAUAGAAAUCAAUGUUAUAUCGAAGAAACAGCGUGUGAUUCUUGGAACUUGUCAAUGUGACGCACUGGGCCACGUGACGAUAACUAGUAUAGCUACUUAUAAACAAUAACACAACCGUGGGCGAAGGGAAAGAAAAGAAAACCCGUCGUUUAUCGAUACAUUAUAUUUAGAGUGGUGCUACUAUUCACGACGAAUCGCACUUUAGUAACGCCACACGAUUGUUAGUAUUACCGGAAGUUAUGGCAAUUACUGCAAGCCGUUGCAAACGCGGGUGCAGCUGCGAAUCCUAUUUUCGAAAGCGCUCAGCGAUAUUUCUACUCUCUUUUUCGGCCGUGAAACAGUAUGUUUCGCGUAGAACGUGACAACGGAUAUCCGUUACAAGAUCUUCUGUUACAAUCGUAUCAAACGACAAACGUUAUAACAGCGACUCGGUUGAAAUUAUAAGUUGAUCUUUUAUAUGUUUUGGGAAAGAUUGAUUUGCUUAACAAAUUUUUAACGAAAGAACACAUUAAACGGAACGCAGGAUGAUUCUCUUACUAGAGUUUUCCCUUAAAAGACGGUGUAACCGCCCACUAUCCGCCUAAUUACGCUUCACUGUAUGUAUAAAUAUGCGAAAAUUGAAAAUGACACGCUCACACGUCACUUGUGACGUUGCAAUGUUCGAUCAGCGCCUUUUCUCGUGGUCUCCAGCGAGCGAAUCUUCCUAUACAUUGUAUAUGUUGCUGGUUAUCGAACAAUGUCUGGAAGCAAGUAUCAGAAGAGGCGGGAGGUUGAUAAGUAUUAAUAGUGUAUGUCUGAUACGUAAUUAGAGAGCGCAUGGUAGAAUUACAAUUCCUCCUGGUGACAUUAAAUCACCAUCCUCGGACAGCCGACCGAUAAUUUUUCAUCGAGGACUAAAUUAUGAAUUAUCGUGGCUCGAGCACGUAUCGAAUCAAAUGACGAACGAUAAGAGGGCGACAGUCGCGACGCCAGAACGGAAUUAACCAGCGACUGUGCAUGCGAAGCCACGCUAUUAAAUAUAAUUUACGAAUGGAGCAGCGUUUUUAUGUACGGCUUUCGAACAUGUCAGAUUCAUCUGGCCGACUGGAGCCUCGAAAUAAAUCAUUCGAUAUUGAACGAAGCACCGAUGCCUGGAAAAGAGAAGGAGAGUAAGGAAAGGCGAACCUUCGUCUUGAAAUGCAAUUUUCUCUCAAGUUAUCGAUGCUAAUAGCAUUACAUUAUUUAAUGUAAUGGCAAAAAUUAUCAUGGUCAGAGAUAGCACGUAUUUUAUAUAAUUACGAUAUCUACCGAUGCUAGUUCGAUUCACGGUUCCGCGUCAAUGUUUAUGAAAGCGUUAAUAAAGUCGAUGAAAAUUAUUUGUAUUAUUGAAACAAUUGCUCAACGAUUUUGUUCGAUCGGACGGAAAAAUGGGGAUGAACGCGUAUGAAACGGUUAUUGUUUAUUUUACAGAAAUCUUCUGUAGUAAUCUCCUAGUAAUAAAGGACAGAGGAGCGGUCAGACGAAGAAUUGUGUUAUUGUUCAUUAGGACGAAAAAUUGUUUACAGUUUUAAAAACACGAAUCUUUAUCGCUAUUUAGUGUAUGGUACAUACCUAUGUCCUCUUAUAGCUCUGAACUCUUUUUUUUUAUCUGUAUGUUUAAAUACAGGGAUUAAUAUUUAAUUUUCAUAAGCUUAAAAUAUUCCGAUUUUCAUAAGCUUAUGUAAGAUUUUCGAACGAUGCAGGCUACGUUUACACCUUGACAAGAAUGUGCGUGUGCGCGCGUGCGUGUGUGUAUUUAUUCCAAAUUAAGGCUAACAUCACGCGAAUGAGAUGUGCGAUGCGAUUCAAGGUCUUUUUCGUCUCAGUGCACGCAAUCUGCAGCUCAGCUUUCAACUUCUCGGUUACGUGGUUACAAUCAAUUCUUCCUCCCAAAUGCAAUCUUCUUUCUUUCUUUGAAGGGUGAAUUGAUCUUCUUUUUUUAAUGGUUUCUCCAGUUCUUCCAAAUAAGAGGUCCUUACUCAUCUUUUUUUCUUGACCGUGUCGAUUAUCUAAAAUAUGACCGAUAAAGUGAAUAUAUUAUUACUUCGUAUCACUAAUUCUAGGUCUGAUUGAAACGAUUUAUAAAAAUGGAGGUUGAAAUCUAUUAAAUUAAUAAUCAAAGUAAUAACUUGCAGAUAAUUUUCAAUUAUGAUCGCAUUGCUGCACGCGUUCCCAUUUUGACCUAUAGUAACUGGUCAGUCAUCGAAAUCACGCCUUUUUCGAAAUAAUAAUUACCAAUUAAAUUAAAACGAAAUUAUUUUAAUAUCGCGUUUGCACACAUUGCAAGAGCAGGUUAGAAUUACAAUUUAUUCUUAGUUAAUGAUAAUUGCAUACAAUCGGAAGAAAAAUUCUUGCCAAAUGGAUAUGUCAA